GAUGAAGAACGCAGCAAAAUGCGAUAAGUAAUGUGAAUUGCAGAAUUCAGUGAAUCAUCGAAUCUUUGAACGCACAUUGCGCCCGCCAGUAUUCUGGCGGGCAUGCCUGUUCGAGCGACAUUUCAACCCUCAAGCACAGCUUGGUGUUGGGACUCGCGUUAAUUCGCGUUCCUCAAAUUGAUUGGCGGUCACGUCGAGCUUCCAUAGCGUAGUAGUAAAACCCUCGUUACUGGUAAUCGUCGCGGCCACGCCGUUAAACCCCAACUUCUGAAUGUUGACCUCGGAUCAGGUAGGAAUACCCGCUGAACUUAAGCAUAUCAAUAAGCGGAGGA
rnacentral:misc_RNA from 1 species